CACGUAGGGCGCGAGCGUUGUCCGGAAUUAUUGGGCGUAAAGAGCUCGUAGGCGGCCUGUUGCGUCCGCUGUGAAAGCCCCGGGGCUUAACCCCGGGUCGGCAGUGGAUACGGGCAGGCUAGAGGUAGGUAGGGGAGAAUGGAAUUCCCGGUGUAGCGGUGAAAUGCGCAGAUAUCGGGAGGAACACCGGUGGCGAAGGCGGUUCACUGGACCGGAACUGACGCUGAGGCGCGAAAGCGUGGGGAGCAAACGGG
rnacentral:rRNA from 1 species